rnacentral:rRNA from 1 species
UGGGGAAUAUUGCACAAUGGGCGAAAGCCUGAUGCAGCGACGCCGCGUGAGGGAUGACGGCCUUCGGGUUGUAAACCUCUUUCAGCAGGGAAGAAGCGAAAGUGACGGUACCUGCAGAAGAAGCGCCGGCUAACUACGUGCCAGCAGCCGCGGUAAUACGUAGGGCGCAAGCGUUGUCCGGAAUUAUUGGGCGUAAAGAGCUCGUAGGCGGCUUGUCACGUCGGUUGUGAAAGCCCGGGGCUUAACCCCGGGUCUGCAGUCGAUACGGGCAGGCUAGAGUUCGGUAGGGGAGAUCGGAAUUCCUGGUGUAGCGGUGAAAUGCGCAGAUAUCAGGAGGAACACCGGUGGCGAAGGCGGAUCUCUGGGCCGAUACUGACGCUGAGGAGCGAAAGCGUGGGGAGCGAACA